GUGUGGCGCACACAGAGUCACGUUUUGAACACUCAACAUUGUAGGCUACGUUAACAAAUUUUUAAAGUAAAAACUUUUAGAUCGAAAUGUAUCAUAAAACACAAAUGUGAUUCUGUAAUAGCGUCGACCAACCAUGGACCAACUAACUAAAAACAUUAACUGACAUUGACGUAGCCUACAUUGGCUAAAGUUACACAAAAAAAGUUUCUGAGAUCUAAACGGGACGGAAGGACGGACGGACAGACAAGGCCACACAAAACUAAUAGCGUCUUUUCCCCUUUGGGGGAAGCUAAAAACAGUACAUGAUUAGAGCAUGUAUAUGUACAAUAACGCACAAGAUAUAAUGUUCAUACCCCAGUUUCUCUUAACAUUACAACAUAAUCAGUAGCCUACAUCUCUUGUUUAUCUGAAGAGCUAUGGCCAGUCUAGGCAAGGAUUGCAAACCUGUCACCAAGCCACCAACUAAAAACCACGAGCUGUCAGUAAAGUGACGUCUGUAGGAAUCCCACAGCCUGACUUCAUUGCUGUACCGUACAUAGAAGACGUCUGUGUAACAAAUGGCACCUCUUUGAUUCUGGACGAAGGGCUUCUAUGUAAUGAAAACUACAAAACUGCUUCUUGGGCUACAGAGAACAAACAUGAAUUGCAAGUUCUCCACCGUCAUCAAUGGGGUGUUGGCAGAUCAAGCAGCACAAAAACUCUGGUCCCCAAUAAUUACAGAAUAGUAUCUGGUCCUGAUUUUGACUAUAUCAAAAGUGUUUCACCACAAGAAGACAAAUUGUCAACACCAUUCAACAAUAAAUUGUUGUUGCAGUUGUAUUGAACAUCAUGCCAUUGUGAGAAACAAUACUAUCACAGUGUGUAUCUGUUUCCAUGAUAUCAUUCAUUGCACUAAUUAGGGCAAAACAGUAAAGAUUAGAAUUGAAUUCAAACCAUGCCAUUCUUCCAGAUUGUUAUGGAACAAGAGACUCCAUCAAAUGUAGUUGAAGCCAGCCAGUUUCUGCAUGAAAUAAGACAUCAUCUAUCACAUAAACGGAACAUUUCAAAUAUUGUUGCAUAACAUCAUCUUUAAAACAGAUUAAAGAUUGUUUCAUCAUUAAAGAUUGUUUAAUCAUUAAAGAUUGUUUCAUCACCUGGAAAUAUAUGACAGUGUUACAUCUCCUUUGAAAUAUAUUAUGGCGUCAAAUCACCUUUGAAACAUGUUAUAGAGUGUUACAUCUCCUUUGAAAUAUAUUAUGGCGUCAAAUCACCUUUGAAACAUGUUAUAGAGUGUUACAUCUCCUUUUAAACAUUAUAGGUUUACAUUAUAUUUGAAAUACUGGUAUAUUAUAAUUAUAAAAGAUUACAUCUCCUUUGAAGGUAUUAAAGAAUGUUACAUAUUA